rnacentral:rRNA from 1 species
AGCAGCAGCCGCGGUAAUACGGAGGGUGCAAGCGUUAAUCGGAAUUACUGGGCGUAAAGCGCACGCAGGCGGUCUGACAAGUCAGAUGUGAAAUCCCCGGGCUUAACCUGGGAACUGCAUUUGAAACUGUCAGGCUGGAGUCUUGUAGAGGGGGGUAGAAUUCCAGGUGUAGCGGUGAAAUGCGUAGAGAUCUGGAGGAAUACCGGUGGCGAAGGCGGCCCCCUGGACGAAGACUGACGCUCAGGUGCGAAAGCGUGGGGAGCAAACAGGAUUAGAUACCCGUGUAGUCCCUGUCUCUUAUAC